AUUGAACGCUGGCGGCAGGCCUAACACAUGCAAGUCGAACGAGUGGCGGACGGGUGCGUAAUGUCUGGGAAACUGCCUGAUAGAGGGGGAUAACUACUGGAAACGGUAGCUAAUACCGCAUACCAUCAGAUGUGCCCAGAUUGGAUUAGCUAGUUGGUGGGGUAACGGCUGACCAAGGCGACGCUCCCUAGCUGGUCUGAGAGGAUGACCAGCCACACUGGAACUGAGACACGGUCCAGCCUCCUACGGUAGGCAGCAGUGGGUAAUAUUGGACAAUGGGAGCAAGCCUGAUGCAGCCAUGCCGCGUGUAUGAAGAAGGCCUUCGGGUUGUAAAGUACUUUCAGCGGGGAGGCGUUACCCGCAGAAGAAGCACCGGCUAACUCCGUGCCAGCAGCUGCGGUAAUAC
rnacentral:rRNA from 1 species